rfam:Streptomyces oceani strain SCSIO 02100 scaffold4, whole genome shotgun sequence.
GUCGGUCCUCGGUAGUGGCUUCCGGACACAGACACGGUUCCGGGUGCUUCGAUCGAAGACCGGC